GAGUCCCAAGCUUUCCGGGUGAAGCACCGGCCUCUUAAGCCGGGGAACAGGGUUCGAGCCCCUGGGGACUCACCA
rnacentral:tRNA from 1 species